UGGGGAAUAUUGGACAAUGGGCGCAAGCCUGAUCCAGCCAUGCCGCGUGAGUGAUGAAGGCCCUAGGGUUGUAAAGCUCUUUCACCGGUGAAGAUAAUGACGGUAACCGGAGAAGAAGCCCCGGCUAACUUCGUGCCAGCAGCCGCGGUAAUACGAAGGGGGCUAGCGUUGUUCGGAUUUACUGGGCGUAAAGCGCACGUAGGCGGACUAUUAAGUCAGGGGUGAAAUCCCGGGGCUCAACCCCGGAACUGCCUUUGAUACUGGUAGUCUUGAGUUCGAGAGAAGUGAGUGGAAUUCCGAGUGUAGAGGUGAAAUUUGUAGAUAUUCGGAGGAACACCAAUGGCGAAGGCGGCUCACUGGCUCGAUACUGACGCUGAGGUGCGAAAGCGUGGGGAGCAAACAGG
rnacentral:rRNA from 1 species